rnacentral:rRNA from 1 species
CGCAUUUAUUAGAUAAAAAGCCAGUUCAUGCUUUUACAGUAUGAAAAUUGGUGAUUUAUAAUAACUUAGCAAAUCGCAAAGUGAAAACAGGCGAUAAAUCAUUCAAGUUUCUGACCUAUCAGCUUUCGACGGUAUGGUAUUGGCUUACCGUGGCAGUGACGGUUAACGGGGGAUUAGGGUUCGAUUCCGGAGAGGGAGCCUGAGAAACGGCUACCACAUCUAAGGAAGGCAGCAGGCGCGCAAAUUACCCAAUUCUAACAGUUUGAGAGAGGUAGUAACAAGAAAUAACAAUACAAGGCAGUUAAAAUGCUUUGUAAUUGGAAUGAUAGAAAUUUAAACCCUUUUUAAAGUAUCAAUUGGAGGGCAAGUCUGGUGCCAGCAGCCGCGGUAAUUCCAGCUCCAAUAGCGUAUAUUAAAAUUGUUGCAGUUAAAAAGCUCGUAGUUGAAGUUCUGCUGAAAGUAACCGGUCUGCUUUUAAUAAAAGUGGUAUCUUGGUAUGUAUUUAGCAAUGAUGUCCUUUGAAGUGUUUUUUACUUUAUUGUAAUAAAGCAUAUUCAGGACUUUUACUUUGAGAAAAUUAGAGUGUUUCUAGCAGGCUGACGCUUUGAAUACUGCAGCAUGG